GUGGUCAGGCGAUUUGACUCCUCAAAUGGCCUCAUAGUUCCACAUAUUGGCUGGAACGCUCUCCAGAUCACCAAGGACACACCACUGUUGCAGGGAGCUGAUGGCCAGCAUGUGUACUUUGUUCACUCCUACCACGUACUGCCUGUAAGCAACGAGCCAUUUAGAUUACCGUACUUUGGUUGACUGAUGAGGUGUGACUUGUUCUUUUCUUUCUUCAUGCUUAGUCAGAUGUUAAUAGAGACUGGAUUUCCUCGAUAUGCAACUAUGGUGACAGCUUUAUAUCCUCCAUCUCAAUGGGCAACAUUCAGGCAGUUCAAUUUCACCCAGAAAAGAGUGGAGCUACCGAACUUUCUAUUCUAAAAGAAUUUCUCAGACCUAACUCUCUUGGGACCAAGGUAAUACAAAGGAGACCAAGAUCACUGGUGCCAAUGCUUCCCUGAAAUCACAUGCACAUUAUGUUUUUUUAUUAUGAUUUUAUUUGAAAAAGAAAUGUUCUUUCUUUAAAAGUGAGUUCACAUUUUUUAUAUUUGGAUAAAAAUCUGAUGCAGCAACAGUGAAUUGGAGGAUGUAUUUGCAGAGUUUUUUUAUCGUUGGGCAGCCAGUGAAUUACCAGCCAGAACGAAGGUGAUGAGAUGGCGUCAAAGGUAGCUUUUGAUCACCCAGAACGAUUCUCCGAAAAGUUCGAGUUCAGUGCAGACAACAUUAAGCCCCUGGUUCAGACAUGCAUGACAACUCUAUCCUCAAAGAUAGCUGAAGAAGGGGCAUCUGUUUGAAGGAUGGACUGAAGGGGUCAUCAACUUUUGGGUGCUAUUAAAGUGUCCAUAUACCAAACACAGUUUUGCUUUAUAUGUUGUCACCUGACCUAUGGAGAAAAGGAAGGAGAUGAACUAAAAAGGAAUGCUGAUGUUCAAGAAAUCCACCGAAGGACAAUAUUUAAUCCAGUUUCGAGAGUCAACAUGCCUAAAACGAUAUAUGAUCAUGAAAGGAAUGUAUGGCUAGGUGAUCUCAACUAUAGGAUCAACUUACCAUAUGAGAAGACACACGAACUCAUAUCCAAGCAGGAUUGGAACGAAUUGUUUGGGAAAGACCAGCUGAAAGUAGAGCUGAAGAAGGGCAUCUAUUUGAAGGAUGGACCGAAGGGGUC